AGCGGCGUGGCUCAGUGGCAAGAGCCCGGGCUUGGGAAGUCAGAAGUGGUGGGUUCUAAUCCCGCCUCUACCU
rnacentral:tRNA from 1 species